GACGAACGCUGGCGGCGUGCUUAACACAUGCAAGUCGAACGGUAAGGCUCCAGCUUGCUGGGGUACACGAGUGGCGAACGGGUGAGUAACACGUGGGUGACCUGCCCUGCACUUCGGGAUAAGCCUGGGAAACUGGGUCUAAUACCGGAUAGGACUGCACCGUGAGGGUGUGGUGGAAAGUUUUUUCGGUGUGGGAUGGGCCCGCGGCCUAUCAGCUUGUUGGUGGGGUAAUGGCCUACCAAGGCGGCGACGGGUAGCCGGCCUGAGAGGGUGGACGGCCACAUUGGGACUGAGACACGGCCCAGACUCCUACGGGAGGCAGCAGUGGGGAAUAUUGCACAAUGGGCGGAAGCCUGAUGCAGCGACGCCGCGUGGGGGAUGACGGCCUUCGGGUUGUAAACUCCUUUCACCAUCGACGAAGGGUUUCUGACGGUAGAUGGAGAAGAAGCACCGGCUAACUACGUGCCAGCAGCCGCGGUAAUACGUAGGGUGCGAGCGUUGUCCGGAAUUACUGGGCGUAAAGAGCUCGUAGGUGGUUUGUCGCGUCGUCUGUGAAAUUCCGGGGCUUAACUCCGGGCGUGCAGGCGAUACGGGCAUAACUUGAGUACUGUAGGGGAGACUGGAAUUCCUGGUGUAGCGGUGAAAUGCGCAGAUAUCAGGAGGAACACCGGUGGCGAAGGCGGGUCUCUGGGCAGUAACUGACGCUGAGGAGCGAAAGCAUGGGGAGCGAACAGGAUUAGAUACCCUGGUAGUCCAUGCCGUAAACGGUGGGCGCUAGGUGUGGGUUUCCUUCCACGGGAUCCGUGCCGUAGCUAACGCAUUAAGCGCCCCGCCUGGGGAGUACGGCCGCAAGGCUAAAACUCAAAGGAAUUGACGGGGGCCCGCACAAGCGGCGGAGCAUGUGGAUUAAUUCGAUGCAACGCGAAGAACCUUACCUGGGCUUGACAUAUACAGGAUCGCGCCAGAGAUGGUGUUUCCCUUGUGGCUUGUAUACAGGUGGUGCAUGGUUGUCGUCAGCUCGUGUCGUGAGAUGUUGGGUUAAGUCCCGCAACGAGCGCAACCCUUGUCUUAUGUUGCCAGCACGUUGUGGUGGGGACUCGUAAGAAACUGCCGGGGUUAACUCGGAGGAAGGUGGGGAUGACGUCAAAUCAUCAUGCCCCUUAUGUCCAGGGCUUCACACAUGCUACAAUGGUCGGUACAGUGGGUUGCCAGUCCGUGAGGGCGAGCUAAUCCCGCAAAGCCGGUCUCAGUUCGGAUCGGGGUCUGCAACUCGACCCCGUGAAGUCGGAGUCGCUAGUAAUCGCAGAUCAGCAACGCUGCGGUGAAUACGUUCCCGGGCCU
rnacentral:rRNA from 1 species